GACGAACGCUGGCGGCGUGCUUAACACAUGCAAGUCGAACGGUAAGGCCCUUCGGGGUACACGAGUGGCGAACGGGUGAGUAACACGGGGGUGAUCUGCCCUGCACUUCGGGAUAAGCCUGGGAAACUGGGUCUAAUACCGGAUAGGACCACUGCCUGCAUGGGUGGUGGUGGAAAGCUUUUGCGGUGUGGGAUGGGCCCGCGGCGUAUCAGCUUGUUGGUGGGGUGAUGGCCUACCAAGGCGACGACGGGUAGCCGGCCUGAGAGGGUGACCGGCCACACUGGGACUGAGAUACGGCACAGACUCCUACGGGAGGCAGCAGUGGGGAAUAUUGCACAAUGGGCGCAAGCCUGAUGCAGCGACGCCGCGUGAGGGAUGACGGCCUUCGGGUUGUAAACCUCUUUCAGCACCGACGAAGCGCAAGUGACGGUAGGUGCAGAAGAAGGACCGGCCAACUACGUGCCAGCAGCCGCGGUAA
rnacentral:rRNA from 1 species